AGCGAACGCUGGCGGCAGGCUUAACACAUGCAAGUCGAGCGGGCGUAGCAAUACGUCAGCGGCAGACGGGUGAGUAACACGUGGGAACGUACCUUUUGGUUCGGAACAACACAGGGAAACUUGUGCUAAUACCGGAUAAGCCCUUACGGGGAAAGAUUUAUCGCCGAAAGAUCGGCCCGCGUCUGAUUAGCUAGUUGGUGAGGUAACGGCUCACCAAGGCGACGAUCAGUAGCUGGUCNGAGAGGAUGAUCAGCCACACUGGGACUGAGACACGGCCCAGACUCCUACGGGAGGCAGCAGUGGGGAAUAUUGGACAAUGGGCGCAAGCCUGAUCCAGCCAUGCCGCGUGAGUGAUGAAGGCCCUAGGGUUGUAAAGCUCUUUUGUGCGGGAAGAUAAUGACGGUACCGCAAGAAUAAGCCCCGGCUAACUUCGUGCCAGCAGCCGCCGU
rnacentral:rRNA from 1 species